AAAAAACAUACACAAUCACACUAGAUUACUAGUUACAUAAAAUAAUAGUUUUCAUCGUUACUAUAAUGGAUGAAUAAUAAAAAAUACGAAAGUUGAAAAUUAAAGCAUCAAAUUUUAGCAAAAUCUAGUGAUGCUUUACCAGAAGGCCUCUUACUAAAGAAAUAAUCCCAAUAAUCAGAAAAUAAGACAUGUUUGUACACUGGUUUUUCUCCAUUUUUCAGCAUUUGUGAGAAUGGACCAAUGACACUGUCAAGGCUAGGAUUCACAAAUAACGGCACAGAUAUUCGAGCUCUGCUUGAGUCAACUGCUACACAAUGCUCGAUACUCUUGUAUCGAUCAUUGCUCAUGAUCUGCAACGAGUCACCUAUGUUAACCGCUAAUGCGUCUUUAAUUGGAUUUACGUGGAUCCAGUUAUCGCCUUUAGUCCCUCGGACAUAUAGACCUCCCGUGUCAUCCUGGAGGAGUAGAGUGAUGCAGGACACGUCGCAGUGUCGACGACAACCAAUGGUGAUACUUGGAUUUGGACAUGGUGGAUAGUAAUUUAUGUUGAUAGCCAUAGUUCCCAUCAAGAGAGGUUCUAAAGAUUCAUCAAUUUCAUUGACAUUGAGUCCCUUCAAUAGCACCUCUAAUAACUUUUUAGCAAGUGGUGUAGCCCACUUUUGAUACUCCAAGACUUGAUUCCUUGUUUGAGGAGGCCAAAGAUUGCUAUCAUUUUGUGGAUUACAACCAUGUUUUAUACUAUCCCUCCACUCCAAGACUUUCUCAUCUUUAUCACCAAUAGCACUCCAAUACAACAACACAGAUUCAUCAGCACCAGCAUUUUCUUUGUAAUACUUAGCUUUUUCUUCAGAUGGCAAUUCAAAGAACUUGUGUCCUGCUUCUUUCAAAUCUUCAAGAACUUUAAUUGGGAUCCCAUGAUUGAUGAUUUGAAAGAAACCCCACUUGCUUGCUGCUUCUUGAAUAGAUUUUUCAACACUUAAAUCAUCAAAAUUUGAUAGAUCAAUUGUCGGGAUCGAUUCUUGAUUGUCAAUUUGGGAUUUGUCUAGUCUUUGUUCUUCUGGUUGAAUGCAUUGAUUCGGGAUAAUUUCAAGGCUUGUGUCUGCUAUGCCUUUUAAUCCAUUCGCUUUCUUGAUUACAAAAUCAAAUAUGUCAUCAUUUGGUUCAAAUUUCGAAGAAGGCAUUUGUGUUGAAUAUUGAUAAGUGUAUACUAUAGAAAGAAGGAAAUUUGGGUUUUUUUUUAUGGUGGAUUUGAG
rnacentral:misc_RNA from 1 species